rnacentral:rRNA from 1 species
CAGCACCUCAAGUGGUCAGGAUGAUUAUUGGGCCUGAAGCAUCCGUAGCCGGCUGGGCAAGUCCCUAGUUAAAUCCAGCGAUUUAAUCGUUGGACUGCUGAGGAUACUGUCCGGCUAGGGGGUGGGAGAGGCCGACGGUAUUCCCGGGGUAGGGGUGAAAUCCUAUAAUCCCGGGAGGACCACCAGUGGCGAAGGCUGUCGGCUAGAACAUGCCCGACGGUGAGGGAUGAAAGCUGGGGGAGCGAACCGGAUUAGAGACCCGAGUAGUCC